rnacentral:rRNA from 1 species
AUUGAACGCUGGCGGCAGGCCUAACACAUGCAAGUCGAGCGAGCGGCGGACGGGUGAGUAAUGUCUGGGAAACUGCCUGCUGGAGGGGGGUAACUCCUGGAAACGGUAGCUAAUACCGCAUACCAUCAGAUGUGCCCACAGGGGAUUAGCUAGUAGGUGGGGUAAUGGCUCACCUCGGCGACGAUCCCUAGCUGGUCUGAGAGGAUGACCAGCCACACUGGAACUGAGACACGGUCCAGACUCCUACGGGAGGCAGCAGUGGGGAAUAUUGCACAAUGGGCGCAAGCCUGAUGCAGCCAUGCCGCGUGUGUGAAGAAGGCCUUCGGGUUGUAAAGCACUUUCAGCGGGGAGGCGUUACCCGCAGAAGAAGCACCGGCUAACUCCGUGCCAGCAGCCGCGGUAAUUC